ACUUACUAUAUAAGAUGAGAUUGACAAGCGUUAAUUAGUAAGUUUGAAGACUGGUAGCAAAUACAGCGAGAACUUAACAAUGAUGGCACUUUUGAAAUUGUAUUUUUAUUUAUUAACAGCUCUGCUGGCCGUAAAUUUAAUUUUAGCGGAGAAUUCCGACGAAACCGAACAACAGGAAAAGGCUAGAUUAUUCCCUGGCAACUUUAACCCACUUGACUUCUUCAGUCAGUUUCUACCAUUCGGUAAUCGACAAACUAGAGAUGUGAGUAAUCAGGAAGGCCAGGAAAACCAGGAAGCCACCAGCGAAAGUUCCAAUCAACGUUUGACUGUCUCUAGUGCUAUAGUGACUUGUAACUACACACUAACUCCUGGCUUGUCCUGCGUGGGCUGUUAUCAAGCUUUGUCAUGCGGUUCAGGCAACAUUGGCAGACAGAGGCGUUGCUCGCUAUACUGCAACAGUGGUAGAUGUUCACUCGUGCCUGGAGCACAAUGCUUAAACUCUACAGUUGCUGGCUAAAUAUAUUGAUUGUAUCGGCACGCAAAUUGACCAGAUUAUUUAUGGACAUUUAUACUUUUUUUCACUUUAUCUGGCUAACUUAUUUUGCGUGAUUUAUGGUAUUUAUUUUCGAAAUAUAAUUUCUGCGUAUUA